UACGUAGGGUGCGAGCGUUAAUCGGAAUUACUGGGCGUAAAGCGUGCGCAGGCGGUUUUGUAAGCCAGAUGUGAAAAUCCCCGGGCUUAACCCUGGGAAUGGCAUUUGGGACUGCAAGGCUUGAGUGCGGCAGAGGAGACUGGAAUUCCUGGUGUAGCGGUGAAAUGCGCAGAUAUCAGGAGGAACACCGGUGGCGAAGGCGGGUCUCUGGGCCGAUACUGACGCUGAGGAGCGAAAGCGUGGGGAGCGAACAGGAUUAGAU
rnacentral:rRNA from 1 species